AUGGCAGAACAUCUAAGUAAAGAUGUUCCAUAAACAGAAAGAAAGCUGUGACAGGAGCAUAUAAAAGGUCAGGGCAGAAGAGAAAGAUCUGGAAAUUGUCUGCACGGAGGUAGGUGCUUGAGGACAACUUGAGAAGUUUCUGGUCCAAUUCCUUCAUUUUACAGACUGGCAGAAGACCGGAGGUGUGAUGUGACGUGUGAAGGUUAUUAAGCAAGACUUUGAUCAAGACAGCACUUAGCAAAGCAACAUUUUUAAGAUGAAAUUACUUUGCUUUCUGCAUUGAGCCAAUGGGAGAAACAGAUGCAAAGAGAACAAAGGCCUAUUUGGUGACUAAGUGCUAAAACCUUCUGUCAUAAGUUUCAUGAACUCCAAGUGAUUUUCCACAGUUCGAACUUGCCCUGUGAAAACAUGCAGAAAGCAUCACCAUCAAUUCGCUGCUUUGUUUUGGACAAUUAUAUCUCCGUGUAAUGUUUCCAUUCAAGGGAAAAGGACACAUUAAUCUGAGUCUUUCACAGUAUAAACCUGGUGAAACAUCACAGGAAUCCU